rnacentral:rRNA from 1 species
CUUUUUGAUAAUAAUUUAAAGUCUGACCUGCCCUAUGAGGAAUUAAAUGGCCGCGGUAAUUUGACCGUGCAAAGGUAGCAUAAUCAAUAGUUUUUUAAUUGAAAGCUGGAAUGAAAGGUUGGAUGAGAAAAUAACUGUCUCUAUUUAAAUUUAUUAGAAUUUUAUUUUUAAGUAAGANAGCUUAAAUAUUAAUAGAAGACGAGAAGACCCUAUAGAGUUUUAUAUUUUUAUUUUAGUGAAUUAUUUUAGUAUCUUAAUUAGUUUUUAAAAUAAAAUAUUUAAUUGGGGUGAUUUAAAAAUUAGAAAAACUUUUUUUAGUAUAAUACAUUUAUUUAUGAACAUAUGAUCCUUUUAUUUGGAUAAAUAGAUAAAAUUACCUUAGGGAUAACAGCGUUAUUUUUCUUUAGAGUUCAAAUUAAAAGAAAAGAUUGCGACCUCGAUGUUGGAUUAAAAUUAAUUUUUAAUGCAGAAGUUAAA